rnacentral:rRNA from 1 species
GACGAACGCUGGCGGCGUGCUUAACACAUGCAAGUCGAACGGAAAGGCCCUGCUUUUGUGGGGUGCUCGAGUGGCGAACGGGUGAGUAACACGUGAGUAACCUGCCCUUGACUUUGGGAUAACUUCAGGAAACUGGGGCUAAUACCGGAUAGGAGCUCCUGCUGCAUGGUGGGGGUUGGAAAGUUUCGGCGGUUGGGGAUGGACUCGCGGCUUAUCAGCUUGUUGGUGGGGUAGUGGCUUACCAAGGCUUUGACGGGUAGCCGGCCUGAGAGGGUGACCGGCCACAUUGGGACUGAGAUACGGCCCAGACUCCUACGGGAGGCGGCAGUGGGGAAUAUUGCACAAUGGGCGGAAGCCUGAUGCAGCAACGCCGCGUGCGGGAUGACGGCCUUCGGGUUGUAAACCGCUUUCGCCUGUGACGAAGCGUGAGUGACGGUAAUGGGUAAAGAAGCACCGGCUAACUACGUGCCAGCAGCCGCGGUGAUACGUAGGGUGCGAGCGUUGUCCGGAUUUAUUGGGCGUAAAGGGCUCGUAGGUGGUUGAUCGCGUCGGAAGUGUAAUCUUGGGGCUUAACCCUGAGCGUGCUUUCGAUACGGGUUGACUUGAGGAAGGUAGGGGAGAAUGGAAUUCCUGGUGGAGCGGUGGAAUGCGCAGAUAUCAGGAGGAACACCAGUGGCGAAGGCGGUUCUCUGGGCCUUUCCUGACGCUGAGGAGCGAAAGCGUGGGGAGCGAACAGGCUUAGAUACCCUGGUAGUCCACGCUGUAAACGGUGGGUACUAGGUGUGGGGUCCAUUCCACGGGUUCCGUGCCGUAGCUAACGCUUUAAGUACCCCGCCUGGGGAGUACGGCCGCAAGGCUAAAACUCAAAGGAAUUGACGGGGCCCCGCACAAGCGGCGGAGCAUGCGGAUUAAUUCGAUGCAACGCGUAGAACCUUACCUGGGUUUGACAUGGAUCGGGAGUGCUCAGAGAUGGGUGUGCCUCUUUUGGGGUCGGUUCACAGGUGGUGCAUGGCUGUCGUCAGCUCGUGUCGUGAGAUGUUGGGUUAAGUCCCGCAACGAGCGCAACCCUUGUUCACUGUUGCCAGCACGUUAUGGUGGGGACUCAGUGGAGACCGCCGGGGUCAACUCGGAGGAAGGUGGGGACGACGUCAAGUCAUCAUGCCCCUUAUGUCCAGGGCUUCACGCAUGCUACAAUGGCUGGUACAGAGAGUGGCGAGCCUGUGAGGGUGAGCGAAUCUCGGAAAGCCGGUCUCAGUUCGGAUUGGGGUCUGCAACUCGACCUCAUGAAGUCGGAGUCGCUAGUAAUCGCAGAUCAGCAACGCUGCGGUGAAUACGUUCCCGGGGCU